rnacentral:rRNA from 1 species
UACGGAGGGUGCAAGCGUUGUUCGGAAUCACUGGGCGUAAAGGGCGUGUAGGCGGUCCGCUAAGUCUGAUGUGAAAGCCCGAGGCUUACCCUCGGAAGUGCAUUGGAGACUGGCGGACUGGAGUCCCGGAGAGGAGGGUGGAAUUCCUGGUGUAGCGGUGAAAUGCGUAGAUAUCAGGAGGAACACCGGUGGCGAAGGCGGCCCUCUGGACGGUGACUGACGCUGAGACGCGAAAGCGUGGGGAGCAAAC